AACGAACGCUGGCGGCAGGCCUAACACAUGCAAGUCGAGCGAGCAUUUCGGUGCUAGCGGCGGACGGGUGAGUAACGCGUGGGAACGUGCCCUUUUCUGCGGAAUAGUCCUGGGAAACUGGGGGUAAUACCGCAUACGCCCUUUUGGGGAAAGAUUUAUCGGAGAAGGAUCGGCCCGCGUUGGAUUAGGUAGUUGGUGGGGUAAUGGCCCACCAAGCCGACGAUCCAUAGCUGGUUUGAGAGGAUCAUCAGCCACACUGGGACUGAGACACGGCCCAGACUCCUACGGGAGGCAGCAGUGGGGAAUCUUAGACAAUGGGGGCAACCCUGAUCUAGCCAUGCAGCGUGAGUGAUGAAGGCCUUAGGGUUGUAAAGCUCUUUCAGCUGGGAAGAUAAUGACGGUACCAGCAGAAGAAGCCCCGGCUAACUCCGU
rnacentral:rRNA from 1 species